rnacentral:rRNA from 1 species
UACGUAGGGGGCGAGCGUUGUCCGGAAUCAUUGGGCGUAAAGAGCGUGUAGGCGGGCCGGAAGGUCUGGUGUGAAAGCCCGGGGCUCAACCCCGGAGGGUCACCGGAAACCGACGGCCUUGAGUCCGGAAGAGGAGAGUGGAAUUCCUGGUGUAGCGGUGGAAUGCGCAGAUAUCAGGAGGAACACCAAUGGCGAAGGCAGCUCUCUGGUACGUGACUGACGCUGAGACGCGAAAGCGUGGGUAGCAAACAGG